rnacentral:rRNA from 1 species
CAGUAGCCGCGGGAAUACCAGCAGCCCAAGUGGUGGUCGCGAUUAUUGGGCCUAAAGCGCUCGUAGCCGGGCCGGUAAGUCCCUUGUGAAAUCGGACGGCCUAACCGUUCGGCGUGCAAGGGAUACUGUCGGUCUUGAGGCCUGGAGACGUCCGAGGUACUCCGGGGGUAGCGGUGAAAUGUUCUGAUCCUCGGGGGACCACCGGUGGCGAAGGCGUUCGACGAGAACGGGCCUGACGGUGAGGGGCGAAGGCUAGGGGAGCAAACGGGAUUAGAUACCCGCGUAGUCCCUGUCUCUUAUU